UACGGGGGGAGCAAGCGUUGUUCGGAUUUACUGGGCGUAAAGGGCGCGUAGGCGGCCACCGCAAGUCGGCUGUGAAAUCUCCGGGCUUAACCCGGAAAGGUCAGCCGAUACUGCGGGGCUAGAGUGCAGAAGGGGCAACUGGAAUUCUCGGUGUAGCGGUGAAAUGCGUAGAUAUCGAGAGGAACACCUGCGGCGAAGGCGGGUUGCUGGGCUGACACUGACGCUGAUGCGCGAAAGCUAGGGGAGCGAACGGG
rnacentral:rRNA from 1 species